CAGUCGCCGCGGUAAAACGGAGGGUGCAAGCGUUAAUCGGAAUUACUGGGCGUAAAGCGCACGCAGGCGGUCUGACAAGUCAGAUGUGAAAUCCCCGGGCUUAACCUGGGAACUGCAUUUGAAACUGUCAGGCUGGAGUCUUGUAGAGGGGGGUAGAAUUCCAGGUGUAGCGGUGAAAUGCGUAGAGAUCUGGAGGAAUACCGGUGGCGAAGGCGGCCCCCUGGACAAAGACUGACGCUCAGGUGCGAAAGCGUGGGGAGCAAACAGGAUUAGAUACCCGGGUAGUCCCUGUCUCUUAUAA
rnacentral:rRNA from 1 species